rnacentral:lncRNA from 13 species
AUGACCUUGAAAGAUAUUACAAAAAGUAGACAGGCAAGAGAAACCCACUACCUUCCUCUUCCUAAACUCAAACUGGACCCCACAUCAGGAGGUCUGGUAGAAAUAGUGUGCUUUUUCUUAAGCCAUUAUCACCACCGCCAUCAUCACCAUCGCCAUCAUCACCAUCACCAUCACCACAAUCACCAUCAUCACAUCACCAUCAUCACCAUCACCAUCAUCACAAUCACCAUCAUCACCACCAUCAUCACCACUACCAUCAUCACCAUCAUCACUAUGGACAUCACCAUCAUCACCACCACCAUAAUCACCAUCAUCACUGCUGACAUCACCAUCGUCACCAUCACCACAAUCACCAUAAUCACCAUUAUCAUCACCACCAUCAUGAUCACCAUCAUAAUCAUCACCACCAUCACCAUUAUCACCAUCACCACCACCACCACCAUCACCACCACCAUCAUCACCAUCACCAUAAUUACCAUCAUGAUCAUGAUCAUCACCAUCACCAGCAUCACAAUCAUCACCACCACUGCCAUCACUACCAUCACCAUCACCAUUAUCACUACCAAGAUCACCAUCAUCAUCAUCACCAUCAUCAUCACCACCAUCGUGAUCACCAUCAUAAUCAUCACCACCAUCACCAUCACCAUUAUCACCAUCAUCACCAUCAUCACCAUCACCACCACCACCAUCAUCACAUCACCAACAUCACAUCACCAUCACAUCAUCACCAUAAUUACCAUCAUCUCCAUCACCAUCACUAUCAUCACAAUCAUCACCACCACCAUCACUACCAUCAUCAUCACUACUGACAUCACCAUCAUCAUCACCAUCACCAUCACCACAAUCACCAUCAUCACCACCAUCGUGAUCACCAUCAUAAUCCACCACCACCACCAUCAUCACCAUCAUCACAAUCAUCACCACCACCGCCAUCACUACCAUCACCAUCACCAUUAUCACCACCACCAUCAUCACCAUAUCAUCAUCAUCACCAUCAUCACUACCAACAUCACCAUCAUCAUCAUCACCAUCAUCACCAUCACCAUCAUAAUCAUCACCACCAUCACCAUCAUCACCAUCAUCAUCACCAUCACCACCACCACCAUCACCACUACCAUCAUCACAUCACCAACAUCACAUCACCAUCAUCACCAUCACCAUAAUUACCAUCAUCAUCAUCACCAUCACCAUCACCAUCAUCACAAUCACCACCACCAUCACUACCAUCACCAUCAUCACUACCGAUAUCACCAUCAUCAUCACCAUCACCAUCACCACAAUCACCAUCAUCACCACCAUCGUGAUCACCAUCAUAAUCCACCACCAUCACCAUCACCAUUAUCGCCAUCACCACCAUCGCCAUCACCACCACCACCAUCACCAUCAUCACAAUCAUCACCACCACCACCAUCACUACCAUCACCAUCACCAUUAUCACCACCACCAUCAUCACCAUAUCAUCACCAUCAUCACCAUCACCAUCACCAUAAUCAUCAGCACCAUCAUUGUCAUCAUUAUCACCAUUACCACCACUAUCAUCGUCACCACCACCAUCAUCACCAUUGCCAUCAU